rnacentral:rRNA from 1 species
UGGGGAAUCUUGCGCAAUGGAGGAAACUCUGACGCAGCUACGCCGCGUGCAGGAAGACACCCCUACGGGGCGUAAACUGCUUUUCUGUGGGAAGAAGAUCUCGUUCUUCGAGGUUUGACGGUACCACAGGAAUAAGGACCGGCUAACUCCGUGCCAGCAGCCGCGGUAAUACGGAGGGUCCAAGCGUUGUCCGAAAUUACUGGGUGUAAAGGGUGUGCAGGCGGAGCGGACAGUCAGAAGUGAAAGCCCACGGCUCAACCGUGGAAGUGCUUUUGAUACUACCGUUCUUGAGUCUCGGAGAAGUUACCGGAAUUCGUGGUGUAGCGGUGAAAUGCGUAGAUAUCACGAGGAAUACCAGAAGCGUAGGCGGGUAACUAGACGAUGACUGACGCUCAGGCACGAAAGCGUGGGGAGCAAACAGGAUUAGAUACCCCCGUAGUCC